AUACAUAGGGGGCAAGCGUUAUCCGGAAUUAUUGGGCGUAAAGGGUGCGUAGGCGGUCUAUUAAGUCUGAGGUGUAAGUGCAGGGCUCAACCCUGUGAUGCUUUAGAAACUGGUAGACUUGAGUGAGAUAGAGGCAAGUGGAAUUCCAUGUGUAGCGGUAAAAUGCGUAAAUAUAUGGAGGAACACCAGUGGCGAAGGCGGCUUGCUGGGUCUAUACUGACGCUGAGGCACGAAAGCGUGGGGAGCAAACAGGAUUAGAUACCCUGGUAGUCCACGCCGUAAACGAUGAGUACUAAGUGUUGCGAGAACGCAGUGCUGAAGUUAACAUAUUAAGUACUCCGCCUGAGUAGUACGUACGCAAGUAUGAAACUCAAAGGAAUUGACGGGG
rnacentral:rRNA from 1 species